rnacentral:rRNA from 1 species
CGACGGGUAGCCGGCCUGAGAGGGUGUCCGGCCACACUGGGACUGAGAUACGGCCCAGACUCCUACGGGAGGCAGCAGUGGGGAAUAUUGCACAAUGGGCGCAAGCCUGAUGCAGCGACGCCGCGUGGGGGAUGACGGCCUUCGGGUUGUAAACCUCUUUCAGUAGGGACGAAGCGCAAGUGACGGUACCUACAGAAGAAGGACCGGCCAACUACGUGCCAGCAGCCGCGGUAAUACGUAGGGUCCGAGCGUUGUCCGGAAUUACUGGGCGUAAAGAGCUCGUAGGUGGUUUGUCGCGUUGUUCGUGAAAUCUCACAACUCAAUUGUGAGCGUGCGGGCGAUACGGGCAGACUGGAGUACUGCAGGGGA